GACGAACGCUGGCGGCGUGCUUAACACAUGCAAGUCGAACGGAAAGGCCCUGCUUUCGUGGGGUGCUCGAGUGGCGAACGGGUGAGUAACACGUGAGUAACCUGCCCUUGACUUUGGGAUAACUUCAGGAAACUGGGGCUAAUACCGGAUAGGAGCUCCUGCUGCAUGGUGGGGGUUGGAAAGUUUCGGCGGUUGUGGAUGGACUCGGGGCUUAUCAGCUUGUUGGGGGGGGAGUGGCCUACCAAGGCAUUGACGGGUAGCCGGCCUGGGAGGGUGACCGGCCACAUUGGGACUGAGAUACGGCCCAGACUCCUACGGGAGGCAGCAGUGGGGAAUAUUGCACAAUGGGCGGAAGCCUGAUGCAGCAACGCCGCGUUCGGGAUGACGGCCUUCGGGUUGUAAACCGCUUUCGCCUGUGACGAAGCGUGAGUGACGGUAAUGGGUAAAGAAGCACCGGCUAACUACGUG
rnacentral:rRNA from 1 species